rnacentral:rRNA from 1 species
CCUACGGGAGGCAGCAGUGGGGAAUUUUGGACAAUGGGCGCAAGCCUGAUCCAGCAAUGCCGCGUGCAGGAUGAAGGCCUUCGGGUUGUAAACUGCUUUUGUACGGAGCGAAACGGUCUGCUUUAAUACAGUAGGCUAAUGACGGUACCGUAAGAAUAAGCACCGGCUAACUACGUGCCAGCAGCCGCGGUAAUACGUAGGGUGCUAGCGUUAAUCGGAAUUACUGGGCGUAAAGCGUGCGCAGGCGGUUAUAUAAGACAGAUGUGAAAUCCCCGGGCUCAACCUGGGACCUGCAUUUGUGACUGUAUAGCUAGAGUACGGUAGAGGGGGAUGGAAUUCCGCGUGUAGCAGUGAAAUGCGUAGAUAUGCGGAGGAACACCGAUGGCGAAGGCAAUCCCCUGGACCUGUACUGACGCUCAUGCACGAAAGCGUGGGGAGCAAACAGGAUUAGAUACCCUGGUAGUCCACGCCCUAAACGAUGUCAACUGGUUGUUGGGUCUUCACUGACUCAGUAACGAAGCUAACGCGUGAAGUUGACCGCCUGGGGAAUCGGCCGCAAGGUUGAAACGUCAAAUGAAAUUGACGGCUGGAGAGNGCGAGNGACGACGAGGGAGAGG